rnacentral:rRNA from 1 species
UGCCAGCCGCCGCGGUAAUACGUAGGUGGCAAGCGUUAUCCGGAAUUACUGGGCGUAAAGGGCACGCAGGCGGCCAAAAAAGUCCGACGUGAAAGCUCCUGGCUUAACUGGGAGAGGUCGUUGGAAACUGAUUGGCUUGAGGUAGUGAGAGGGGUGCGGAAUUCCCGGUGUAGUGGUGGAAUGCGUAGAUAUCGGGAGGAACACCAGUGGCGAAAGCGGCACCCUGGCACUAUUCUGACGCUCAUGUGCGAAAGCGUGGGGAGCGAACGGGAUUAGAUA